rnacentral:rRNA from 1 species
CCUACGGGGUGCAGCAGUGAGGAAUAUUGGUCAAUGGACGCAAGUCUGAACCAGCCAUGCCGCGUGCAGGAAGACGGCUCUAUGAGUUGUAAACUGCUUUUGUACGAGGGUAAACGCAGAUACGCGUAUCUGUCUGAAAGUAUCGUACGAAUAAGGAUCGGCUAACUCCGUGCCAGCAGCCGCGGUAAUACGGAGGAUUCAAGCGUUAUCCGGAUUUAUUGGGUUUAAAGGGUGCGUAGGCGGUCGGAUAAGUUAGAGGUGAAAUCCCGAGGCUCAACUUCGGAAUUGCCUCUGAUACUGUUCGGCUAGAGAGUAGUUGCGGUAGGCGGAAUGUAUGGUGUAGCUGUGAAAUGCUUAGAGAUCAUACAGAACACCGAUUGCGAAGGCAGCUUACCAAGCUACUUCUGACGUUGAGGCACGAAAGCGUGGGGAGCAAACAGGAUUAGAUACCCUAGUAGUC